rnacentral:rRNA from 1 species
AUGGAGACGGACUGUCAAGACUUUGUCAAUCUCUGGAGCUUGCGCCACAACUCACGAUCAGUGGUGGCGCUUAUCAUAGCUGAGAUAGGGGAGCAUGCUUGUUCUUUUACUUCUUUUUUUAUUCAGCAUAUUUCUAGAUCAGCAAACUUUUCUACCCAUCUAUGUGCAAAGCAAGUGAGCACGCUGGAUGUGACAGACUGCUGGAUGGGCUCGAUGCAUAGCUUUCUUGUAACUAGCCUUAUGGCAGAUUCUGCCGAGGCUUCUGUUGAAUAA